CCUGAUGCAGCGACGCCGCGUGAAGGAUGAAGGUCUUCGGAUUGUAAACUUCUUUUGUSGGGGACGAUAAUGACGGUACCCGAUGAAUAAGCCACGGCUAACUCCGUGCCAGCAGCCGCGGUAAUA
rnacentral:rRNA from 1 species